CCUACGGGGUGCAGCAGUGAGGAAUAUUGGUCAAUGGUCGGGAGACUGAACCAGCCAAGCCGCGUGAGGGAUGAAGGUACAGAGUAUCGUAAACCUCUUUUGUCAGGGAACAAAGGCGGGGACGCGUCCCCGGAUGAGUGUACCUGAAGAAAAAGCAUCGGCUAACUCCGUGCCAGCAGCCGCGGUAAUACGGAGGAUGCGAGCGUUAUCCGGAUUUAUUGGGUUUAAAGGGUGCGCAGGCGGUCUGUUAAGACAGCGGUAAAAGCCCGGGGCUCAACCCCGGCCCGCCGUUGAAACUGGCAGUCUCGAGUUGGAGAGAAGUAUGCGGAAUGCGCGGUGUAGCGGUGAAAUGCAUAGAUAUCGCGCAGAACUCCGAUUGCGAAGGCAGCAUGCCGGCUCCACACUGACGCUGAGGCACGAAAGCGUGGGUAUCGAACAGGAUUAGAUACCCUUGUAGUC
rnacentral:rRNA from 1 species